rnacentral:lncRNA from 1 species
UAUAUUUGUGGUCUUCCAUUACAUAUCAAUUGCAUGGAGACUAAAUUACCGAUGUCACCUCUUGGACCUGCAGAUUGUUGUGAAGAAGCAGAUAAUGGUUUCCCAGAUAUCAAGUCCUUCUAUAUUUCCUUUCUUGUGGCAUAUGCAAAUAUGGUGCUUGUAAUGGUUCUAGUCCACUGUGAUACAAAAAUGAGUGUGUAUCAAGAGAGUCAAGCCAACACAAGAGUAACAAGAUGAACAACAACAAUGCUAGUGAAUCGAAAUACGCCACUCACGGCUUCACUAGACUUGAAAGUUUACAAAAAAUGACAAGAUGAUAGAGACAACAAGAUUACAAAGUAAAAGAUAGUAACUU